CGUGUAGGCGGCUGGAUAAGUCAGAUGUGAAAAGCCCUGGGCUUAACCCAGGAAGUGCAUUUGAAACUGUUCAGCUUGAGUAAGGGAGAGGAAAGUGGGAUUCCUGGUGUAGCGGUGAAAUGCGUAGAUAUCAGGAGGAACACCGGUGGCGAAGGCGUCCAUCUGGCCCAAUACUGACGCUGAGGCGCGAAAGCUAGGGGAGCAAACGG
rnacentral:rRNA from 1 species